rnacentral:rRNA from 1 species
UACGGAGGAUGCGAGCGUUAUCCGGAUUUAUUGGGUUUAAAGGGUGCGUAGGCGGCCGAGUAAGUCAGCGGUGAAAUUUUGCAGCUUAACUGUAACAGUGCCGUUGAUACUGCAUGGCUAGGAUUUGGUUGCUGUGGGUGGAAUGUGUGGUGUAGCGGUGAAAUGCAUAGAUAUCACACAGAAUAUCGAUUGCGAAGGCAGCUCACAAAGCCAAGAUUGACGCUGAGGCACGAAAGUGUGGGGAU